rnacentral:rRNA from 2 species
AAGUGCGAAUGCUGACAUAAGUAACGAUAAAGCGGGUGAAAAGCCCGCUCGCCGGAAGACCAAGGGUUCCUGUCCAACGUUAAUCGGGGCAGGGUGAGUCGACCCCUAAGGCGAGGCCGAAAGGCGUAGUCGAUGGGAAACGGGUUAAUAUUCCCGUACUUGGUGUUACUGCGAAGGGGGGACGGAGAAGGCUAUGUUGGCCGGGCGACGGUUGUCCCGGUUUAAGCGUGUAGGUGUGUGUUCCAGGUAAAUCCGGUUCACUUUAACACUGAGGCGUGACGACGAGGCACUACGGUGCUGAAGCAACAAAUGCCCUGCUUCCAGGAAAAGCCUCUAAGCAUCAGGUAACAUCAAAUCGUACCCCAAACCGACACAGGUGGUCAGGUAGAGAAUACCAAGGCGCUUGAGAGAACUCGGGUGAAGGAACUAGGCAAAAUGGUGCCGUAACUUCGGGAGAAGGCACGCUGACACGUAGGUGAAGUGAUUUACUCAUGGAGCUGAAGUCAGUCGAAGAUACCAGCUGGCUGCAACUGUUUAUUAAAAACACAGCACUGUGCAAACACGAAAGUGGACGUAUACGGUGUGACGCCUGCCCGGUGCCGGAAGGUUAAUUGAUGGGGUCAGCGCAAGCGAAGCUCCUGAUCGAAGCCCCGGUAAACGGCGGCCGUAACUAUAACGGUCCUAAGGUAGCGAAAUUCCUUGUCGGGUAAGUUCCGACCUGCACGAAUGGCGUAAUGAUGGCCAGGCUGUCUCCACCCGAGACUCAGUGAAAUUGAACUCGCUGUGAAGAUGCAGUGUACCCGCGGCAAGACGGAAAGACCCCGUGAACCUUUACUAUAGCUUGACACUGAACAUUGAGCCUUGAUGUGUAGGAUAGGUGGGAGGCUUUGAAGUGUGGACGCCAGUCUGCAUGGAGCCGACCUUGAAAUACCACCCUUUAAUGUUUGAUGUUCUAACGUGGACCCGUUACCCGGGUUGCGGACAGUGUCUGGUGGGUAGUUUGACUGGGGCGGUCUCCUCCUAAAGAGUAACGGAGGAGCACGAAGGUUGGCUAAUCCUGGUCGGACAUCAGGAGGUUAGUGCAAUGGCAUAAGCCAGCUUGACUGCGAGCGUGACGGCGCGAGCAGGUGCGAAAGCAGGUCAUAGUGAUCCGGUGGUUCUGAAUGGAAGGGCCAUCGCUCAACGGAUAAAAGGUACUCCGGGGAUAACAGGCUGAUACCGCCCAAGAGUUCAUAUCGACGGCGGUGUUUGGCACCUCGAUGUCGGCUCAUCACAUCCUGGGGCUGAAGUAGGUCCCAAGGGUAUGGCUGUUCGCCAUUUAAAGUGGUACGCGAGCUGGGUUUAGAACGUCGUGAGACAGUUCGGUCCCUAUCUGCCGUGGGCGCUGGAGAACUGAGGGGGGCUGCUCCUAGUACGAGAGGACCGGAGUGGACGCAUCACUGGUGUUCGGGUUGUCAUGCCAAUGGCACUGCCCGGUAGCUAAAUGCGGAAGAGAUAAGUGCUGAAAGCAUCUAAGCACGAAACUUGCCCCGAG